AGAGGGGCUGAUGAAUUGAGAAAACAGAAAUGAGGCCAAUGUGAGUUGCCUUUCAAGAGCUGUGCUAAUAUAAAACCAAGCAACUUGAAUUUGUUCCAAGAGGGGAUUAAAGCAACAUGUUAUUUUGAGUGAUUGCUUAAUUUAUUGAGCUGUGGCUAGAUCUGUAAUGAAAUACAGCCCUUGCAACUGAUAACCUCCUGCUGUAAUUGAACUUCUACAAUUAAGGAAUAUUUUCUGUGAGUUUCUCUGGAACAGCUCAGAAUUUUUAGUCUGUGUGGUGGGGUGCUUUUGAGCACUCAUUUUCCAGGCAAGCUUUUUUUUUUUUUUCUUUAAGGAGUGACAGGCUGAUGUUAAUAAGGAAAAUAAGCAGCAUUUUAUUGAAUGUCUUAUGUGCACCAGGCACUUAAUAUACAUUAUCUCUAAUCCUGACAACAGCCCAAGGAAGUCACUCUUAUUUGUCCUUAUUUUACAGAGAUGAGCCUCCUCGAUGUUAAGUAAUUUUGCAGAGUGGCACUGUCCAAGAUGGUAGCUACUAGCCACUUGUGGCUAUUUCUGUGUAAGUUGUUAAAAUUUUUUAAAUCCAAAAAUUCACUUCCUAGGUUGCAGUAAUAACCCUAUGGGGCUAGUGGCUACCACAUUGGACGGUGCAGAUAUAGAUUUUGAUUACUGCAGAAGGUUCCACUGCUCUGUGCCAUUCCAGGUAUUUCACAGGUAGAAACUGGCAGUGCUAGGUUUCAAUCCCAAGCUAAUGGGCUUUGAAGGCAGAAUCUGCUAUACCCCUCAUUUCCUUCUCUUCCUUUGGCUGAGAAGCAAGGACUAGAGUAGUGAUUCUAAACCCUGGCUGCACAUUAAAAUUACCUGGACCGCUUUAAAAAACAGUAGUGAUGUUAGGCUCCCAGGCCCAGAGAUUCUGACUUAAUUGUGAUUGAGAGGAGUUUUUAUAAUUCCCCAUGUGACUCAAGCGUGCAGCCAGGAUUAAGAGCAGUUAGAUGAGAGGAUCCACACACAGGAUGGUGGGAGGAGCUGGUUCGUCUGCCAUGAGAAUGUGGUCCCUUGUGGGUCCUGACAUGGGCUUCUCUCAGAGCCACUUCUAAGCCUCCAAAUCAGAGGCCUCGGGUUCAUUUCUGAGGGAAAGGCUUAAGUGCUUUCUCAUAUGCUUCCUGCUUGGCGGGAGACACAAAGGGGAGCUCUGCUUUUAGAAACAGGCUUUGUCACACUGUCAUGGAAGAAAGGAGAUGCGGAUGUAAGAUCACAGAGAUGAAGUGAAGAACCUGGAGUCCCCAGUUUGAAUGGGAAGCAUCAGUAUUUUGCCUUACAAAAUAAAGCAUGUGUUUCCUACCCCUGUCCACUGAAAAGGUUAGAAAUAAUGGGCAAUUCACUAACAGUGAGCACUCCCAGCACCCACGUUGUGGUCUCUAAACACCACUUCCAACUAGAAGUGCUCUCUGCAGGUUCUGUGGAGAUAGGGCUGAUUCGAGGUCUGAGGCAGGACAUAUGUAAGAUGAGCCUGGAACACCUUAUCAUCCAAGUAGCUCAGAAGCUGUUAUAGGGACAUAUCAAAAAGGAGGCGGGAAGACAACGUGAAGAGGCUCCCACUGGCCAAAGAUGGGACAUUUUGAGCAUCAAUAGGAAUAAUAACUGCAACGGAUGGAAAUGUGUUAUGUGUGUCCAAAUCUGUGAGUUCACAAUGAUACUUAGAAAAACAGAAACGCAUAAACUCAUUUGUCAUCUUUGGAGGAUGUUGGGACCAACUUUUUUUUUUCUUUCCUUUUGGCCACACUGCGUGGCUUGCAGGAUCUCAGUUCCCAGACCAGGGAUUGAACCCGGGCCAUGGCAGUGAAAGCCCGGAAUCCUAACCAUUAGGCCACCAGGGAACACCCUGGGAUGAACUUAUUUUGAAAACUGUCAAAUACAGGGGAAAGAGUCAAGCAUUUAUCCUUUCUGGUAUGAACCAUACUUUACCGUAAGCAAAUGGCUGAUCAGGGGAAGUUUCUUUAUAGCCAUAUUCCAGCUAACAAACAAAGACAGAAGGAUAGAAUUAGUAAGCCACCCUUUUCAACCUCUAAUGGAUCUAGACAGUGAUCAUCGAUGGCUACUAACAUCAUGAAGAGGGACAACCACACAUUAUGUGCCUUCAAAUAGAAAUAUAAAACAGCCACUAGGAAGUAGUCAUACAAACACAAAAAACAAACAUGAAUCUAAGUGAACUUCUAGAUCUAACUACUGAUUUACAAGCAACAGAGUGGGCAGAGGAACACGUAUAACACCAGCACGGGGAUGCAAUAAGCAAAAUCCAGACCGGAACACUCUACAGAACAACCAACCCAGUUUCCUCAACAAAUAAAUUGCAAGAGAAGAAAGAGGAAGGGAGGGAGAACCCGCAGAUUAAGAAAGGCGUAAGAGGCGUAUCAACCAGUCACACUGUAUGAACCUUAUAUGAAUCCUGAUUUUAACUGUAAAGAAAACAGUUAUGAGACAACCAGAAAAUUCUGAACACUGGAUAUUUGCUGAUAUUAAAGCAUUACCGUUAGUAGGUGUGAUGGUGGUAAAAAAAAAUCCUUUUUCUUUUGGAGUCAUAAACGAAAAUAUUUGCAGAAGAAAUGGUUGGUGUCUGGAAUUUGCUUAGUAUCUGAGUAUCUGGGAUGAGGGAGGAGGGGAAGGGGGUAUAGAUGCAACAAGGUUGGCUGAGAGUUGGUGAUUAUUGAAGCUGGGUGAUGGAUAGCUGGGGUUUAUGGUACCAUGUACUCUACUCUUGUGUGCACUUGUGUAUUGGUUUGACCUGCCCACCACUGCUGGCAUCUCUGGGCAAGCCUGGGUAGCAGGUUUGAGAUACAUCUCAGCGCGUGCAUGUGUGCACACCCUCUCCUGUCUCCAUGGCAAUCAGUGAGGUGAGAAAGCAGCAUCUAAAAGGUUCCUGUCCACAUGAGGAUCCGGCCAGGCUGCUGGUGUUGUGCUCGGCCCACCGUGGCCGCUCCCUUUGGAGAAUUCCUAGCCAGAUCUUCACAGUCCCACCCCCCGCCACCAGAUCUGCCUCCUGGCACCCCUUUGCCAUCACUCGUGCUCUCCCUACGCAUCCCCUGAGGAAGUAGAGACCAAUUAGUGGAGAGACAGGACCCUGAAUCAGAUCCAAGUUCAAUUUUUGAUUUCUCCACUUAAUGGCAGGACCUUUAACCUCCCUGAGUCUCAGUUUUCUCACCUGUAAAAUGGGCAUGAUGUGACCUCAACGAACUCAACAAAUCUUUAUUAUGGGGGAGACAGUGGCAAAAAGGACCUAGUCUCCACCUUAUGGAACUAGACACCCGGAGGUAAAAGGCAAUCUUAAGAGUAUGUACUGUGAUAAAGUACAUGUUUAAAAAAUUUUUUUUUGAAAACUGGCAGUCACUACUUACGAAAGAUCAUAACUCUAAAUAUACUCUUCAUUAACCAGGAUAUCCACACUUUCCAGCUACUGACUAUCCGCUAUGCCAGACCUAUAGAAUAUUUUCACUUAACUGAGUGCUCAUAAUUCCACGAACCCCUGACUCAACGGUGACCCAUGAAUGACACUCAAUAAACAGUGAUCGAAUGGACCAACCAACACUAUCAUCACCUCUGACUAGGCCUCCAUCUGAAAUUGCAGAAACCCUCUAUAGCUGCCGUGACCUCCAGUUCCCAUUUCAGACAGGCUGGUAUCCAUGAUGUCACAUGAUAGAAGAUGAUUCCAGAAAAAGACUGGCCAAGAGGCUCCUGGAUGGAGCUGUGGCAGACAAGACUGGGUGUGGUUUUUCUUUAAUUAUUGUACCUGUUUUGUCUGUUCUUUCUUGGCUCUGUUCACAUCCCUAUCCCAGCACCAGUGCAGGAAAACAAAACAAAAACAAAACAUUAUCGCAGAGUUUGAGACAAGAUGGCUGGCUGGUUCCCUCUCUGCUUGUACUUAAUGCCAAAAAUGUUCAUGACUUGCCUCGGCCACAAAGGUAAUAAUAAAAUCAGGCAGUCUGGUUA